rnacentral:rRNA from 1 species
UACGUAGGGGGCAAGCGUUGUCCGGAAUCAUUGGGCGUAAAGCGCGUGUAGGCGGCUCGGUAAGUCUGCUCUGAAAGCCCGGGGCUCAACCCUGGGAGGCGGGUGGAUACUGCUGAGCUCGAGUCCGGAAGAGGCGAGUGGAAUUCCUGGUGUAGCGGUGAAAUGCGCAGAUAUCAGGAGGAACACCAAUGGCGAAGGCAGCUCGCUGGGACGGUACUGACGCUGAGACGCGAAGGCGUGGGGAGCAAACAGG